UCAAGUAUUCGAAGUGGAGAAAUUCACGGAUAUAAGUCACGUUACUGUCAUUGAAUGGUACAAAAAACUUAGACAACUUUGUAAACUAUUCCUAGAAAAAGAUCCAAUUUCACUAGGAAAUGCAGAGGGCAGCGUAGUGGAGAUAGACGAGAGUCUCUUUGGGAAAAAAAGGAAAUAUAAUAAAGGGACCGGCAAACAGGACACAUGGGUUUUCGGUAUGAAGGAGAAAGGGACACGAAAAGUACUCUUCCAAAUAGUG
rnacentral:lncRNA from 1 species